UGAAAGUUGUACAAAAGAGCAGGUUGCACUUGCUAGUAUUAUUAUUUUACCAAUGUAACAGGGGGGGGUGGGGGGAGGGGGGGAGUUGUGUUAUGUGUUUCUGUUUAUACUAUGCUUAUUUAAAUUAAUUUUGACUUCCUACAGUAGCAGGACUUGUGAUACAUGUUCUUUUGCAUUUUAUGAGCAGAAUCUGUACAAGAUGAAGUUGAGUGUAAUGGUGUUUGAUUGGCACCACUCUGUUUCAGCAGCAAACCAACUCUAAGCUGGAACUGCUUCUGAACUGGACGGGGAACUUUACUCACUACAGGACGGGGCUCGAUUAUUCCACCAGGUUCUUUUUAUCUCUUUCCUUUAGCUUCAAGCAUUUAUUAAUAUCGACUCAAUGCUGUCACAUUGAAGUCUGCCAGGAUAGACCAAGUCAGGACUAUCAAUUAAACAGAUCCCAAGUGAAGGGGAUGAUCAGCCAUGAUCACAAUGAAUGGUGGUGCUGGCUCGAAGGGCCGAAUGGCCUCCUCCUGCACCUAUUUUCUAUGUUUCUAUGAAGGUCCUUGGGAAUUUGAGUCAGUUCCCUAGUGAGUCUUUUGUCUGAAGGAGUUGGCUGUACCCUGUAUCUAUCUACCUAUCUUGCACAUACCCUGGGAGUGUUUAAUGGUACAUUGUGAUGGGAGACUUGCACGAUGCACAACCUGGGACAUGGGACAGUGUGGUGUGGAUUAACAUUGCAUUGUGUGAGGAUACAAUGAGUGGGGGAAGGUUUACACAUUAUCUGCCCCGAGUUGUGUUUGUCCGAGGACUGUUUGUUGAGACACUGCAGUGGGCUGCAUAUAAUCCUGCACUCCGACCACUUCUAGAACUCCAGCACCCCUUAGUUUUGCUCAUUCAAAUCUGUAAUCAGUAAUUUGUAUAUUAUCCUUUUCAAUUACGUUUGGCAAUUCAGAAAGAGAUAACAGACAAAACUCUCACCCAGACCUGAUGUCUGGCACUAGGGUUCCUGGGCAGGUCAAGGUGGGUACAGUGGCACCAGGUGUGGGCAGUUGGAGGUGGAUGCGGUGGCACCAGGUGUGGCAAGCAGAGAUGGGUGUGGUGGCACCAGGCAGGUGGAGAUUGCACUAUGUGUGGGCAGUUGUGGGCAAGCGGAGGUGGGUGCGGUGUUGGCAUGUGGUAGUGGCACUAGGUGUGGGCAGGUGGAGGUGGCACCAGGUGUGGGCAGGUGGAGGUGGGUGCGGUGGCACCAGGUGUGGGCAGUUUGCAAGCUUUGUGUCCCUGGAGAUGGCAGAUGCCCAGAAGUAGGCGGUGGUUGGACAGCAUUGGGCAGGAAGCCGCCUGGUUUAAUAAAUGCUUGAAGCUCAGACCACACAACACAUGUGGAUCGUUCAGGGAUGGGGUGGGAGGGCGUGAGAUGAAAUAAACUCUUAAUGUUAUUGUUCUUCCCUAUUUCCAAGGAAGAAUCUGGAGACCUCAAUAAAUAAAACUUUAAGACACAUUUGUAAAAACGCAAACAAAUUGAAAGUGCACAAUAUUAAUAUUCGUUACCCAGUCAGAACGGACGUUAAGAGCAGGCUCGGUUUUGGCGAUAUGUUAUGUACUGGUGUAUAUUCUGUCAGUUGCUCUACCUCCCCUGUUUAGAUAUCGUACGGCUUCAAGUUCUGGGUUUGAUUUUCCGCUUGUUCUGCUCUCGACGUGCUUUCUUUCCUGCCGGACCUCGCGGCAGCUUACGUAGCGGGUAGUUUAAACUAUUAUUUUGAUUGCCUUGUUAUUCCAUAUGGCAUUUGAGGCGAUGUUAUCAACUUUCGGAAGGGUGGGUGGGUGGUCACGUAGGUUUAAAGAUAAGUGGUUUAGGUAAUGUUUGUAUAUUUAUCUUAGAAUAAUUUUGAUACUUCCCUAAUCAGCGUGUUGUGUUAAAUCUCUCGGAUGCGAAGAUUUUUAAUUAUUUUUCUCGAUUUAUUCCUGUAUUCAUCGUGUGUUUUACCUCAAGGAGAAACCUUUUUUUAAAUGGUAAAUAGGAC